GUGCUGGGGUCUCAGGAGGCAGCGCUCUGGGGACUUCUCCACUAUGGCCUGGAAUCUGCUCCUCCUCGUUCUCCUCAGUCAGGGCACAGGGUCCUGGGCUCAGUCUGCCCUGACUCAGCCUCGCUCAGUGUCCGAGUCUCCUGGACAGUCGGUCACCAUCUCCUGCACUGGAACCAGCAGUGAUGUUGGGGGUUAUAAUGCUGUGUGUUGGUACCAGCAGCACCCAGGCACAGCCCCCAAACUCAUGAUUUGUGAUGUCAGUAAUCGGCCCUCAGGGGUCCCUAAUCGCUUCUCUGGCUCCCAGUCUGGCAACACGGCCUCCCUGACCAUCUCUGGGCUCCAGGCUGAGGACAAGGCUGAUUAUUACUGCAGCUCAUACGCAGGCAGUGACACUCUCCACAGUGGUCCAGGUUCAUGGGGAACUGAGACCAAAACCUGCCCUGGGCUCUCAGGCUCCCUCCUUGCUCUGAAGAUGCUUCCUCAGCUGGUCCAAGGUCUGUCGUUAGAUAAGAACGUACUCACUUCAUCUACUUGAUUGGAUCAUGGGUUUGCCAAAGACAGCCCGGUGUCACAAUCACAGCACAUGCAUCUGCAUUGCUUGCUCUGAGUUUUGGGAGAGCUUUCAUAUGUCAGGAAUAGACUCCUCCUAAGGCAAAGUCUGAGGCAGAGGGAGGGGCAAGUGGGCAAGAAAGUUUGUAUUAGAGCUGGAAUAUCCAGUGCAGACUCCGAGAGAAGGGUGCUCGUAUCAGCACUUGACUGAAGCCGAAACAGAAGAGAACAGGGAAGUUCUGAGAAUAGCAAAUGAAUAAAUGAAUAAACAGUUUACGUUUUAAAUGUAUUGAAUGUUUUUAUAAUCCAUGAAAAGUCUAGAACAGAAUUUAACGAUGGGAUAAGGAAAAGAGCUUGAGAUGUUAAACUGUAAGGAGCCCAAGGCAAGUUGCCAGAAAAAGAACAGGACCUUUUUGGUGGAAAUAUGUAUAUGCUCCAAAUUAUCCUUCUGUGUGUGUGUGUGUGUGUGUGUGUCUGUGUGUGUGUGUAAGGAAACAUUCCAUGGAACAUUCUUCUUCCUUAUACUCAAGAUCACUCUCGACCCACAGGGAACCUAAAGUAUAUGGCAGGCUGCAGGGACAUAACUUAAUCACGUUUGUAAAGUGCAUCACGCAGAGUCGCGCACACCCCAGCUGCUCCUGAGUUGGCAGCAAUUAUUCCUGAUCACUCGUGAAAACUGGACCUGGAUGGAGGGAAAGCAGUGCAGAGGGUUCCAGGGGGUUAGGAAAAGAGAGACUUUAAUGACUUAAAAGUAGAUCUAGGGGUGCAGGCGAGCAUCCCUGGGCGUUCUCCCGCUAACUCUCACCAUGUCUCAGAAACGGUUUCAAGGUGAAGUCUACUAGAGAGCUAAGGGAGGA